UACGUAGGCAGCAAGCGUUGUUCGGAGUUACUGGGCGUAAAGGGUGCGUAGGCGGCUUUUUAAGUUUGGUGUGAAAUCUCCUGGCUCAACUGGGAGGGUGCGCCGGAAACUGGAGUGCUUGAGCGUGGGAGAGGAAAGCGGAAUUCCUGGUGUAGCGGUGAAAUGCGUAGAUAUCAGGAGGAACACCUGUGGUGUAGACGGCUUUCUGGACCAUAGCUGACGCUGAGACACGAAAGCGUGGGUAGCAAACAGG
rnacentral:rRNA from 1 species